rnacentral:misc_RNA from 1 species
ACGCAUGAUUACGAAGUCAAGAUGCGCAACGUUGUGAAAUUCCUGGAAAAAGGCGAUAAGGUGAAGGUCACCCUGCGCUUCCGUGGACGGGAAAUGGCGCACCAGAAUCUGGGUCGUGAGCUGCUGGAACGCGUGGCGGAAGACAUCAAGGAAAUCGGCAAGGUCGAAAACAUGCCGAAGAUGGAAGGCCGCCAGAUGAUCAUGAUGAUCGGACCGGUCGCCAAAUAAGCCCAAGCGCUUUUUGGAUCGAAUUUUAUCGAAGAUGACAGACGGCCCUGCGGGGCCGU